rnacentral:rRNA from 1 species
AUGGACCAUUCCAUCCCUUUUUCCCGUGCAUAUGCAUCGGACUCGGAUGACGAUGGUCCCGAUGAACAAGUUGAUGCGGAGGGGUUCACGGUGAAGGAGGCCGAAGCUUUCGAGAAGGUAUUUGGUCGGGAUCAUCGGACUACAUUGUUCAAGGAUGUUAGUCUCGCGGAUGAAGCCGUGGUAGAUGGUGGCCAAUGUGUAGCUCUUGGGGUUAGGCCAAGCUCUCAUCGUGAUUUGGUAGACGACCAGAACCGGAUUGCUAAAGGUUCUAAGUUCGACAGCUUGUUGGAUUUGAAGAUGUGGCUCGACAACUACUCGGUUACGCAUUAUCGUCCACACAAGGUGGUGCACUCGGACGUCAAUGUGCGCUACACGGUUGCAUGUGCAUGUGAAGAUGAAAAGGAGGUCCAACUUGUACUUAAAAGAGGCCGUGGUGGUGGUAGAGGUCGUGGAAAGGAGGUCCAACAAGGAGUGGCAAGACGCCGUGGCGGUUGUCCGUGGAUUGUGCGUGCAAGACCAUGGAAAGGAGGUCCUACUUGGCAUGUAGUGAGUUGUGUGCCAACUCACAUGUGCCAAGGCAAAAGGGUGGAUGGCAAGAUUGUGUCCCAAGACCACAAACAACUCACGUCCGAGUUCAUCGCUUACAGGCUCUCGAACUCAAUAUCCACACUUCCAACAAUGAGCGUCCAAUAUGUCAUUGACCUUGUGAAAGCCAUCUUUCAUUACUAG